GCCAUGAUUAGAAGUUCAUAUCAUCCUUUUAUUAACUUCAUAUCAUUUUUGUUUUAGACUUCUCAUUUGAACAUGUCGAUUUAAGAGAAACAGUUUUGAUAGUGAACAUUGAGUUUUUUGACAACUUAAAAUCCUUUAUAAAUCUGGGUUUCAAGUAAUUUUAGGAUUUUCUUCCUUCUGUUUAUCCAAAAAUAGAAUACGGUUGAUUUGGACUUGUCAUCUGAAUAGUUCCGGCUAAGAGAGAGAUUUUCUGAUAGUACACUGCAUAUUAAGGAAUUAUAACCCCUUAUAAAUCUGGAUUUUAGGAUAUUGUUGAUAGUACAGCUCAACGAUUUACAAGGUUUUAUAAAAGAAGUUCUUAAACAAGAAUUCAUCAUAUAUGUCUAUAGAACAACAUAUAAACGUAUGAACUCGAGAAGUCUUGUGAUGUGUUAUUUGUAAGACUGUUACCGAAAUACAUGAACAUUAUGCUUGGAUAAGGUAUCUUUAGACCACGAUUAAAAGUUAACAUCAUCUUUUUAUUUCGUCUUGCAGUUAGACAGCAAUGAAUCUUGCACAUCUUCAUGAUUGCCUCCAAGGAUUUAUGAAGCUGGAACAUAACCACUAGACAAUCCAAAAGUGAUUAUCCAAUCGGUGUCUUGGUCAAUAAUUGUUGUGCAAUUAGUUCAACAAGAAUAUAAAAUGAAGAAAAGCUAAGGGGGACGAAGAUUUGUGGCUUUACUUUUUGCAGUAUAUGAUGUACGGCAAUAACACAUGAAAGAAGAUAAAAAUGAAGAGAAAAUAAAGCUUAAGAGAAAAUAAAAGUUUAGAAAUAAUUUAUAAAAAUAUAUAAAACAGUUUGUAAAGUUUAUAAGCUAUUUAUAAAGGUUUAUAUAUUAUUUGUAAGAGUCUCAAAACCAUUUAUAAAUGUUUACAUUUAUAAAGGUUUAUAAAACAAUUAAUAAAGUCUAUAAACCAUUUAUAAUUGUUUAUAAAAACGUUAUGAAAGUAUAUACACAAUUAAUAUGGGUUAUGUAUUCAAUUUAUAAGGUUUAUAGGUUUAGGAACCAAUUAGAAAGUCUCUUAAAUCAUUUAUAAGAGUCUACAGUAAUUUAUAAGGACUUAUAGAAACAAUUUAUAGGAGUUUGUAAAAUUGUUUAUAAGGGUUUAUAAGGAUAUAUAAAUAAUUAAUAAGAGUUUAUAAAUCAUUUAUAAAAAUUACUAAAAACAAUUUCUGAAUUUUAUAAAACUUUUAAAAAGAGUUUGUAAAAUUGUUUAUACGGGUU